rnacentral:lncRNA from 1 species
UAAUCUUUAUCUUUUUAUUUAAAAACGUAAGCCCUUUUCCUUUAUUUUUGAAAAGAACCAUAAAUAUUUUCUAAUCUUAAACUUCUAAUUACUAUAUAUUAUGAUUAAUUUGUAAUUAGAAAAGCAUUAGUUCAUAUUUUAUGUAUUUUGGAAUUAUUAAGUAUUUAUUUAAUACCUUUAAUUAAAGGCACUAAAUAAAUACCCAAAAUGUUUCUAUAAACAAAUAAGUUUUAACAAUUUUAAUGUGUAAAGGAAAUAAAAACAAACCUAUUAAAAUUUAUUUCACUAUUUUUGGGUACUUCUACAAAUUUUGGUGAAUUAAAAGGUGCAACAGUUAUUUAAAUCUAUUUUAAAACCGAAAGUUCCUUAUCUUAUCCGAAACCCUCCCCUGGAAUCUAUUUCUACCGGCC